UACGCAGGGUGCAAGCGUUAAUCGGAAUUACUGGGCGUAAAGCGCACGCAGGUGGCUGAGUCAGUCGAUUGUGAAAGCCCUGGGCUUAACCUGGGAAUUGCAGUCGAUGCUACUCAGCUAGAGUAUGGGAGAGGGCAGUGGAAUUCCCGGUGUAGCGGUGAAAUGCGUAGACAUCGGGAGGAACAUCAGUGGCGAAGGCGGCUGCCUGGCCCAAUACUGACACUCAGGUGCGACAGCGUGGGGAGCAAACAGG
rnacentral:rRNA from 1 species